UACGGGGGGGGCAAGCGUUGUUCGGAAUUACUGGGCGUAAAGGGCUCGUAGGCGGCCAACUAAGUCAGACGUGAAAUCCCUCGGCUUAACCGGGGAACUGCGUCUGAUACUGGAUGGCUUGAGUGUGGGAGAGGAAUGCGGAAUUCCAGGUGUAGCGGUGAAAUGCGUAGAUAUCUGGAGGAACACCGAUGGCGAAGGCAGCCCCCUGGGUCAAAACUGACGCUCAUGCACGAAAGCGUGGGGAGCAAACAGG
rnacentral:rRNA from 1 species